UAAGGCAACUGUUGAUUACUUAGCAACCCGAUUCAGCCCUUUGAUGGCAGCGGAGGUAGAGCUAGGUGGGGGUUCGUGGGUUUAGAUGAACCCAAUAUAUAUAUAUAUAUUUGAACUUGUGAACCCCAUAACUAAAUUCAUUGAUAAUUUAGUGCUGUGUCGAUGGAUAAAAGAGUCAUCCCUUCAGUGUCAUCCUCUCAAGAAAAGGCACACCGAUAUUCAACGGAUAGAGCCUGCAUUAUUAAUAACAGGCGACACAGUUUAUAUAACCAACUCUCAUCAGAUAAAAGAGAAGCACUUCUUCUACAAUGACGGAUAAGAUAUAAACAGUUGAGCAACAAAAAUCUCCUCAAUGGUUCUUUUACUGCACUACCUGAUGUUCAGCUUCAAUUCUAUGGACAAAAAGGCGUUACUAUUAGAGAUAUAACGCCUCACGCUGAAACAGGUUUGCUAAAUGUGCUGCACAACUGCAUGACACAUGCUUCUUCUCUUAACUAAAUGUAGUUGUGAUCUACUAAUGGUUAUUACACCGCUGUUCGUGCUCUAGGUAACAACUCUUGCACUGAUACAUCUGUAGUUGUAUCAGGUAAAGCAAAAGAUACGAUUGGUUGCCUAUCCAUCUUUGAAGUAGGCAAUGUUGUUAAUAUUCUCUCUUCUAGAGAGAAUUUUUUUAAUGUCCUGAUUACAACUGUUUCUACUAUAGGCUCAACGUCGGCCGCACCUGCUAAACAACAUAGCCCAAUAGCAAUCACUGUCACUACCAAAAAUUUGUCUGCUCCCUUUUCCUAUUUACACAAAGGUCAGGAUUUUAGAGAAAUCUUAUUCUAUUUUCAAUCAAAUCAUCUUGACUUUAGGUUCCGCAUUACUUUCCCAUCAACAAUAUGAUCCAAAGGCAAUCACGGGCAACAACAACGGUUCGUCUUCCUAAAAUCUUAUAGUUAUCUUGAUUGCUUAGAUGUUCUUCCAGCUUAGUUUCCUUCUAGCUUAUGCCCACUCCCUUGCGAUUAAUUUACACAGAUAUAGGUUAAGAAGUAUAUACUGUCGCAGUAUUAAGCAACUCCCUAACAAUCCAAGCAUUUUAAAGAAAAUGCCUUCUUGUGAAUAUUGUGCGGCAAAAACAUUUGAAUAUAAACCAGUAGGAUUUUGCUGCAGUAGUGGCACUGUUAAAUUGGAAUCACAUGAAAUGCCUACAGAACUACUAAAUAUCUUGUUAGGAGACACUGCUGAAUGCAAAUAUUUCCCCACCUAUAUUAGAAUGUACAAUAACAUGUUUGCAUUUACUUCUCUUGGAGUAAAAUAUGACAAGAGCUGGAAAAAAUAUACCAUGGUAUAUACACCUUUAGAGUUCAAGGACAAAUGUAUCAUUUUAUGGAUGUUUUAUUACCUUCAAAUCAACAACCAAGAAAUCUACAAUUAUAUAUA